UAAUGUCAAAGGUACAAAGGUCAGAAAGCCGUUCAUGCUUGCAUGAUAAGGCUUUUGAACUUGGGACCUGCCAAAUAUGAGGAAGAAGUGAUUUGAGCAGCAAAUCAGCGGAUUCCAAAUAUUUGCAGAAUUGCGAAAGCAGAUUUCUGCGGAGCAAUUCGUUGACAUUG
rnacentral:sRNA from 1 species